rnacentral:misc_RNA from 1 species
AGACAGUCACUUUUGGUCUUCUUGAGUAUGCAGACGUAGUGAUACAUGGGGAGAGACAGUUAUUGCCAUCUAACAUCAUCAGCUGCACUUGCUAGAAAGAUAAUUAGAAAGGGAUGUGAAGCUUAUCUAGCUCAUGUGAUAGACACCCAGGUGGGGAGUCCAGAUCUUAAGGAUAUUCCUACAGUAUGGGAUUUUUCGAAUGUCUUUCCGGAAGAGUUGCUGGGAUUACUUCUAGAAAGAGAGAUGCAGUUUGAAAUUGAGACUAUGC